GGUAAUGAAAUAUUUUGUGCGGUGACAGAAUAUUGCAUUUUCGUUGAUCAACUCAGCCACCGGCGCAUGUCGACCACCUCUUGGUGCAUGGCGGCGCGUGGUGGCGACCCAUGACAGUGUAUGGCGGCGGUCGGUGGUUUUCGAAUACCGAUUUUGGCAGCUUGAUCUUUGUUUUUUUGGUAAUCUUCAUAGUUUUCGUUUACUUACUAAGUAAGGGUUGUUUAUUUUAGCGCGUUUAGCAAGAUGUGCGAGACCCUAUAUUUUUAAAGUAAGCUUAUAAGUUAGUUGUUUAGCUCAUGGGAAUUAUACUAGAAAUUUAUGUUUGAAUUGUUUUAUGAGAAAGGAUCAUCGUUGGAUUCUCUUUGUGAGGAUUCCGGGGAUCCUCCAAUCGUAAAUGUUCAUCGUACAUCGUGCGACCAGUUUUUAUCAGGUACUGUUUAUAUUCAAUUUUAAAUAAAAAGACUUAUAAUGAUUUCUGAUCGCGCGAUGU
rnacentral:lncRNA from 1 species